AAGUCGUAACAAGGUUUCCGUAGGUGAACCUGCGGAAGGAUCAUUAGUAAAUGAUGGCUCUUAGGGGUCUUUGACUCCAUCCACACCUGUGCACUGUUAACCGUUAGCUCCCUUUUGGAAAUUUUGGGUUAUACUGAGAUUUAUUAGGUGUGGCCUUCGGGCUGCUUCCUACCAGAAGGGUAGCACUUUAUACCUACUUUGUUUUUGUUAUUAGUCUGAAUUUUGAGGCUCUACGAGCAACUUGACACAACUUUCAACGAUGGAUCUCUUGGCUUCCA
rnacentral:misc_RNA from 1 species